CACUGGAGCCUUAAGAGACAAGAGUUAUUUAUGGACAUUUAAUGAAGCAGAUUCAGAGAACUUAGCUGGUGGUUCAGGAUGAUAGGUUUGAAUACAGACCCCAGUGUCCCAUCUGAUGAACCAUGCUGCCUUGUGACUCACUGAUCUCCAGAUUAUAAGACAGGUUAUAGUUAUAUUGGAGUUGAAGCAUCAAGGCAUUGUGGAAUGAAGAAGCUUAGAGAGAGGAGGUGGGACAGUCUAGGGACAAGGAAUAAAGGGGAUAAGACUCAAGUCUUAUCCAAUGUGAUAAACAUGUGCUGAAUAUGUACCACUUUCUGUAUCAACCUCCCAAGGCCAAACUCCCUCGUCCUCACAGGUGCCCUGGGUUUGGCUCCCCACCACCCAGUGAAGUAUGUGUGGGACACAACCCAAAUCAAAGCCAACAAGUCACUGCCCAAACAUCCAGGGCCGAGGGAAAAAGAGCAACAUGUUCUCACCACACGCCACUUCAGAACCAGAGUGACAGAGCAUGAACGGGGGAGGGGAAGAGAGAGAGGGAGACACAGAAUCGGAAGCAGGCUCCAGGCUCUGAGCCGUCAGCCCAGAGCCCGACGCGGGGCUCGAACCCACGAACCGCGAGAUCGUGACCCGAGCCAAAGUUGGACGCCUAACCGACUGAGCCACCCAGGCGCCCCUAUACUCUUUAAUGUGUAUGGAAGGAAAACUGUUGGCCAUUUCCAGAAAAUGGGGCUUCACAAUAUUUCUGGAAUUUCUGCCUGUCUUCCUGGGCCUUUCUCUGGAGUUCUCUUUCACUUCAUUGCACAAAGACUCAGUUUGGCCUUCAGGGAACGAAAUGGCUCCCUUAGGUUGUUUGUAAUCAGGAUUCAUGGAAUCCAAGUUUCAGAAGCCUUGUGAGUUUGAAUUUACCUAACUGUAGUCGUUGUGGAGGCACCCCUUGGGGCACUGAGCUCUUUUUAAUGUGGUGCACCGAAUCUCUUACUUACUAGGCCUCUGUUGUGCCCCUACUGUGCGCCGGGCGUCACUCAACACCCCAAAAUCCAGAGGUAAGAAGGUGCCCUGUUCCGUGAGGAGCGUCAGGCAGGCAGAGAACUGACCUCAAGACAAUUCGGUCCUCAAAAAGGGAUGUUCAGGUUGCUCUGUGGCCCAGGGCAGGGGUGUGGCAGGAUUGACUGAUUAAUGUUGUGUUGAAGAGGGGAAAGAAAAACAGAAGGUUAGGAUUUCUAUUCACAGUGGACUGUGACAUUUUGAUCCAGAAGACGGAAUCGGUCAUUGCCCUUGCCUCCUCUGUCCGGAUCAGUAAUUUGAAGGGUGUGGUCUGAGUGCCCAAGAAGACCGUUCGUUUUAAAAUACCAUUCUUUCCCACCUUUACAAUUUAUUGGUUCGAAUUAAGUUUUAAUGCUCCACUAACCUGGGAAGGUCCCUGGGGACUGUAUCUGCUCUCACUCAUCACUGCCUUAGGGUUAUCUCAUCCCCUCUGAGAGACAGUGAGAGAGCAAUCCCACACCUCAACACAGAAAAAGACCGAGUCCAGCAGGAGGAUGAUAGCCUCUCUCUGCAAGGCUUAUGAGGAGAAGCAUCCAGAAGCCUGGACGGGUCAGGUCAGGGCUUCAGGAAAAGGGCAUGACCUUCACUGAAUAUGCUUGCCUCUGUGAGCACGGAAUGGCGUUCUAGGCCAGGAGUUCUUAGAAUCUGAAAUGGCAUAACAUCUGUAAAAUCCCAGGGACCGAUGCAGUUGGCUACCUAUCCACUUGCCAAUAAAAGUAUUUAAAACAAACAAAAACCCCAAUAUACUAUUUUUAUCAACAUUAUUUCAUCCAAAAGACGGUAUUUUUACCAUCAAAAAAUUAGGAAGGAUCCAAUAUCACAAUAAAAGACAGCUCUUUAAACGGAAUAUAAUUUGUGAAAAAUUCCAGACUUGUCAUCGCCUUAUUUUUUGCUACCUUCAGGCUGUCACAGUCCACACAUGGGCACUUGGAAACCACAUUUCUAGGUACUGAGGAUGUCUUGGGAUCUGUCUUGAGGUGUGUCCCUGCAAAGACACCUGAUCUCUGAGUUAUAAGAGGGGGCAGGGAGGGCACUGCAGAGCAGUGAGGAAAGCGCCCUCCUACAUAAACCUUUGGGCCCAGGCAAAUGCCACCAGCUCUAGAGAGACAUCCCUUGUGAUCUCAGGUCAAAAAUCAACUGGUAGUUUCUCUCUGUCCCCAGCGAGCAUUGCUUGUAAGCCCGUGUGGCAACUGGCUAAUCCUGCUUCGUAUUCUGGUCGGUCUGUACACCUGUUCUCCUCAGCUCUGGGCAUUGUCCCCUGGCCUUAUACGUAGAAGCUUCUUAGGCAUAGUCACUCAAUCAGAUUGACUUCAUCAUCUUCUUUUUCAUUUUUUUCUUUCUAUCUGUCCUUUCCUUCUUGCCCCCUUUUUACCUUCCUGCCUUCUUUUCCUUUUAUAUCCAUUGUUAUCUCCUCCAGCUCCUUCCUGUUAGUACACAAUUUUCCCCGUGGGCAGGGUCCUCUGGAAUUCUGUACCCUGCCACUUCCCAUCCAUUCUGCAACUUCAGAUAUGCGGAAUAAAGAUAAAUGAACUGUGACAUUUGCCUUUUACAUCAAAAUACAAGAGAAGAAAACAAAAAUGGAAGAGAAGAUUGCUGUCAGACCACACAUUUCCCAUCCCCAUCGGAAAACCAUGGUCUUUUUUCCUGCCAACAAUGACCUUGGGGAUCCAGUCAAAUCCUGCCUGACGUUUUUAACAUUCAGUACUUGCGUUUUUCUCACGGGGAGUGGGUGGGGGGGAAUGAGAAAGCCUAGGCUUUACCUUCCCUAAAUCUGUUCCUGUCUCUGUUCUUCCUUUUUUGAAUCCUCCGUAUGUACCAAUUAUUUCCUGUUUCUUCCUCUCUUAGAACAUUCCACCAGGUACCAUUCUUAUCCCCGGGUCCCCAGACCCCAUCUUUUGAGCCUCAAGUCUCUCUGACUGCAGACUCCUUUUCCCUGGGCCACAGGGUCCUCGCUUUGAGAAGUUGCGUGAAGAGAGGAUGGAAGCCUUUGUGUAAGCUGGGAGUUUUUCCAUGUAUUUCUGUGGGGAUGCGGAAGGUCUCAGAAUCACCCAGUCUGUAAGCCUGGCGCACUCCGAAAUGAGCUCUAUUUCUGGGCCUGUCAGAUGAAAUGCUGUUGCUCACGGUUAUUUUUGGCUCUUUGCCCUUCUGAAUAGGUGCAUAUUCAGCUCAAUUCUCCCCCCGACCCUGAGCUGGGAAGAAGCAGGCAGCUUCCCUCAGCCAAGCCUCCUCUCGAGUCAGGAACAUUUGCCCCCUUAAGCAGCAGCUAUCUCAAGAGUCCUGGGCUGCGCAGCGGCUGUUUAUGCCGUGGCCAGGGGGGCAGCAGGGGAGUCCGCUCCCUGGCCCCCUCAGAUGACUGAUGGAGACCCUUGUGAGCCGAACAGCAGGUACAGCCAGGUAUCCAAAGCCUCCUCGUUCAUACAUACAAAGGUCUGCAACCUGCCCCACUGGGCCUGGCUGCAAAAACUUCUCCUACCAUCCUCAGGGCACCUGGGAUGGCCAGGGGACAUUUUCAGCUCAGUGAGCACAGAAAUAGCUGUACACUGAGGGUCUGAGGAAGGAAGAACGCUGGGAUGCAGAAGGCCAAGGGCAUGUAGUUAGAAAACUAUCUUCGGGUGAGCAUGUUGAGAAGAACAUGUGUGUGAAAAGGGUGGAGGGAGGUUGGGUGUGAGUGUGCCGAUCCACGUGGGACGGAGAGCGAGGAAGGACAGCGACUGUGCACCCAGGGAGUGUCAGUGUAAAUAAUUGAAGAGAGAGAGUGAGUACACCUGGGACCUUGGGGAAAGCGGAUUGUAUCUACGAGUCCUGACAAUAUUUUAUAACUGCAUCCUGCAGCUGAAAUCGCGAUCCUUAGACAGGCAUUAACAUCGACUUAGGGCUUUUAGUCUAUCCGGUAAUAAACAAUAUCAAGUGAUCAAGUGAAAUGAAAUGUCAAGAUGAGCUGUACUUGCAUGGACACUUAGUAAGGUCCAUAUAAAAUCAAGAAAAGCAUAGGGAAGAGGAAGCUAGCCCAGGGUUCUCUUAACAGCUACUUAUCUCUGCAGCCUUUGACUGAGAGACUUCUUUUCAAAGUUCUUACCACGUAUCACUUUGACGCACUAAUUCACUCAAUCCUCAUGACAGCAGCAGCAGCAGCAGCCUCGUUUUACAGACGAAGGAACUGAGUCGUUUGAAAGAUCCCAGGUCCAGGGUCAUCACCAGGUGGCAGAGCGGGUUUGGUCCGAGCAGCCGUGCUCAAGGACCAGAGCUUCCACGACUACACGAAACUUCUGUAGUGACAGCGGGUGGUGGAGGGGCAAGCAGGUGUCGUGAGGUAUGUCCAGGGCUCGCACCUGGGUUUGAAACGUAGGUGUGUGUCCGGGCUUCAUGGUGCCUGGGGACAGACACUGCCAUGUCGGACACAUCUGUCUGGGGCCAUCCUGCCACUCCCCAGCUUUGUUGCCUUUGCCGGGUCACGAAUCCUUUUUUGAACCUCAGUCUCCAGCCUCUGCAAAACUGGGGAUAAAGUCACCGAUCUGGCCAUCGAUGUGGUGUUGUGGGGGCCAGUGAGGUAGCAUGGGUGAGGGUGCGUGGCAAAUCGUCAAGCCCUAGACAAGAGUAAAGCACUUCUUGUGUAUUUUUCAGACUCACCUACUUCCAAAAAAGGCUCACAAAGAAAGGUCCAUCCCUUGUAAGUUUAUGAAAAACAGAAAAUAAAUAAAUAACCUGUCAAGGGGUUAAGGAUGACCCCACCCAUGAAGCACAUCUCCAUUAUAACCCUGGAGCAGGGGAGGGUAUUCCCCCAGUAUUUACCCCCCGGGGGGUGGGGGGAAGCCAGCUGCCGUGUGUCAACUCUCACCACCAGCAAGCCAGCCAUGUGACGGGAGAGAGAUGCUCAGACAUUCCGAACCCCGUGUGGGCCAGAGCUGCGAAUGAGCAAAUCAUCCUGAAGGUUUAUCCGUCGAGCCUUUACAUGACUCGAACCCAGCCCCGCCCCGUUCAGCUGAAACAGCUUCAGAAUCCCUAAGCCAGAACUGCCCGGCUGAGUCCUAGCAACUCACUGACCCAUGAAAGGUCACUGUCUCAACAGUUCCUGUGGAAUCCUGGGGGAUGACCCUGUUAUGGGUUGAAUUGUGUUCUCUAAAAGGAUAUGCUGGGAGUCCUAACCCCUGGUACCUGCGCAUAUGACCUUAUUUGCAAAUAGGGCCUUCGCAGAUGUAAUCAAGUGAAGCUGAGAUCGUACGGUGGGCCCUGAUCCAAUAUGACCAGUGUCCUUACAAGAAGAUGGAAAUUUCCUCAUAGACAUGCACCGAGGGGUGACAAUGUGAAGACACAGAAGGAAGAAGGCCAUACGAAGACAGAAGCAGAGAUUGGAGCCACGAGGCCACAAGCCAAGGAAUGCCUGGGGCUACCAGAAGUGGGAAGAGACAAGGAAGCAUCCUUGUCUAGCGGCUUCAGAGGGAGCGUGACUUUGCCUGUGCCUUGAUUUUGGACUUCUACCUUCUAGAACUGUGAAACAACAAACUUCUAUUGCUUUGAGCCACCCAGUUUAGGGCACUUUGUUCGAGCAGCCUUCGAAAACUAAUAUCAACUUCGGUGUCUGCUCAGGACAGAAUGGCGACCACGGAGAAUUCUGGACGGGGCGGAGGAAGAGAUUGCUCCCUUCUGUACUUUGAGUGGCAGCAAAGGGCUAUGACCAAUGCCCUCCUGGAUGCAGAAGGAGGCACUGGCCUCAUUAUAUGCAUACACCAUGACUGCUGUCUUAAAUUCCAAUACUGCUGAACAAUUCAGAAAUAGAUCCAUUAUAGGUCUGCUUUAGCCCCAGGGCUUUAACACGGGUCACUAGAAAAUCCAAGAUUGCACAGUAAUUCAAACUCUUAAGAGGGAAAGGAAAAAAAAAUUCUCCUCAGCACUCCCGCCCGCCCAGAGUCCCUCCCUCCAGCAUCACAGGGAGCCCCUCUUCAUUUCUGUAGUGCUUUAGAAUAAAUAGCUCUUAUGUUGAACUUGAAAUCUAAAUUUUUCGCCAGCUAUUAAUUGAUAAGAGAAGCUCGUUUUACCUCUCAUGCUCUGUAGUAAGAUUACGGUGUAAAUAAACUGGGUCAGGUUUA